rnacentral:misc_RNA from 1 species
UUAAGUUCAGCGGGUAUCCCUACCUGAUCCGAGGUCAACCAUAGAAAAUUGGGGGUUUAAUGGCAGAAGCACGCGGGGACCCUGUAACGAGAGGUAUGUUAUACUACGUUCAGGACCCAACGGCGCCGCCACUGACUUUAAGGCCCGCCGGUCACCCGGCGAAAGCCCAAUACCAAGCUGAGCUUGAGGGUUGAAAUGAC